rnacentral:rRNA from 1 species
AAGCGACCCCAGGUCAGGCAGCACCACCUGCUGAUUUUAAUCAUAUCAAUAA